rnacentral:rRNA from 1 species
GAUGAACGCUGGCGGCGUGCCUAAUACAUGCAAGUCGAGCGAACAGACGAGGAGCUUGCUCCUCUGACGUUAGCGGCGGACGGGUGAGUAACACGUGGAUAACCUACCUAUAAGACUGGGAUAACUUCGGGAAACCGGAGCUAAUACCGGAUAAUAUAUUGAACCGCAUGGUUCAAUAGUGAAAGACGGUUUUGCUGUCACUUAUAGAUGGAUCCGCGCCGCAUUAGCUAGUUGGUAAGGUAACGGCUUACCAAGGCGACGAUGCGUAGCCGACCUGAGAGGGUGAUCGGCCACACUGGAACUGAGACACGGUCCAGACUCCUACGGGAGGCAGCAGUAGGGAAUCUUCCGCAAAGGGCGAAAGCCUGACGGAGCAACGCCGCGUGAGUGAUGAAGGUCUUGGGAUCGUAAAACUCUGUUAUUAGGGAAGAACAAAUGUGUAAGUAACUAUGCACGUCUUGACGGUACCUAAUCAGAAAGCCACGGCUAACUACGUG